GACGAACGCUGGCGGCGUGCCUAAUACAUGCAAGUAGAACGCUGAAGGAGGAGCUUGCUUCUCUGGAUGAGUUGCGAACGGGUGAGUAACGCGUAGGUAACCUGCCUGGUAGCGGGGGAUAACUAUUGGAAACGAUAGCUAAUACCGCAUAAUAGUAGAUGUCGCAUGACAUUUGCUUAAAAGGUGCAAUUGCAUCACUACCAGAUGGACCUGCGUUGUAUUAGCUAGUUGGUGAGGUAACGGCUCACCAAGGCAACGAUACAUAGCCGACCUGAGAGGGUGAUCGGCCACACUGGGACUGAGACACGGCCCAGACUCCUACGGGAGGCAGCAGUAGGGAAUCUUCGGAAAUGGACGGAAGUCUGACCGAGCAACGCCGCGUGAGUGAAGAAGGUUUUCGGAUCGUAAAGCUCUGUUGUAAGAGAAGAAAGAGUGUGAGAGUGGAAAGUUCACACUGUGACGGUAUCUUACCAGAAAGGGACGGCUAACUACGUG
rnacentral:rRNA from 1 species